UGCAGUCGACGGUAACAGGUCCUUCGGGAUGCUGACGAGCGGCGGACGGGUGCGUAACGCGUGGGAAUCUGCCCAAUAGUGGGGGAUAACCCGGGGAAACCCGGGCUAAUACCGCAUACUCCCUACGGGGGAAAGCGGGGGACCGCAAGGCCUCGCGCUAUUGGAUGAGCCCGCGUCCGAUUAGCUUGUUGGUGGGGUAAAAGCCUACCAAGGCGACGAUCGGUAGCUGGUCUGAGAGGACGACCAGCCACACUGGGACUGAGACACGGCCCAGACUCCUACGGGAGGCAGCAGUGGGGAAUAUUGGACAAUGGGGGAAACCCUGAUCCAGCAAUGCCGCGUGUGUGGAGAAGGCCUGCGGGUUGUAAAGCACUUUCGGCAGGAAAGAAAAGCCAUGCGCUAAUACCGCAUGACCUUGACGUUACCUGCAAAAGAAGCACCGGCUAACUCCGUGCCAGCA
rnacentral:rRNA from 1 species